GACGAACGCUGGCGGCGUGCUUAACACAUGCAAGUCGAACGGAAAGGCCCUGCUUUUGUGGGGUGCUCGAGUGGCGAACGGGUGAGUAACACGUGAGUAACCUGCCCUUGACUUUGGUAUAACUUCAUGAAACUGGGGCUAAUACCGGAUAGGAGCUCCUGCUGCAUGGUGGGGGUUGGAAAGUUUCGGCGGUUGGGGAUGGACUCGCGGCUUAUCAGCUUGUUGGUGGGGUAGUGGCUUACCAAGGCUUUGACGGGUAGCCGGCCUGAGAGGGUGACCGGCCACAUUGGGACUGAGAUACGGCCCAGACUCCUACGGGAGGCAGCAGUGGGGAAUAUUGCACAAUGGGCGGAAGCCUGAUGCAGCAACGCCGCGUGCGGGAUGACGGCCUUCGGGUUGUAAACCGAUUUCGCCUGUGACGAAGCGUGAGUGACGGUAAUGGGUAAAGAAGCACCGGCUAACUACGUG
rnacentral:rRNA from 1 species